CGCAGAACUUUGUCCCCAGCGCUUCAAUAAGCACACAAUCCCUUGAAUGUCUGCCUUAAUAGAAGACAAGAAGAUUCUGUUUCUUCUUCGAUUCAAUCUGUUAAAAUCCAUCGUGACUAAAAUAUGUUAAAAUAGCCUGAUGUCACACUGACAGUGGGUCUCCGUCCUCUAAGGAGGGGAAGGAGGGGAAGUCACUUUCCAAUGGUCAGAAGCACCCCCAGUUCAGGGGCCAUGACUGCUCCUCGGCCCAGCUCCUGGUGAGUAGUACGUGCACAGUAAACAGACAGCGACGCACCGCUGCGCUUCCCGCUCUCACCGAAAGGUGGAUCCAGCUCGGGAGCCGUUUCUCAUAUCAGCUGUUCAAUCACCAAGCAAGUGAUGCUAACUGCCCAUCUAACGGCCAUUGUCAAGGUUAAUUAAAGGGCUUUAUUGGA